CAGAGUUAUCACGCUCUAGUAAAGGACCAUCAGAAACACCAGCAGACAUGGGAUAUAGACAUACUUCCCACCCCCAGUCUCCAUAAUAACUGCAGAGCUUCCUUUUCUGCUGACUACAGUUCCAAUAGGACAAAUGCUGGUGAUUUGGAUUUUCUGCUCCAAGAAACAUGUUCUAUUCACGAGUUGUCAAAGAUCUUUCUGAAGGCAAAAUCCAGAAGAAAGGCACUGUGGGGAGCCUUGUUAGCAAAUCUAGGUCUUUCUAGAUCUGGAAAAAUAUUCAUGAUGUUCAGUGUUGACAACAGUUGCUGGAAAGGGUAUGUUUUCUCCCAGUGAGGCUUGCAGCCUGCUUAUGUCAAGAAAUGGAAUAUUUAGUUGUCAGACAAAACACUCCAAAGGUUACCAGCCCAUGUCAUUAGUUGCUAAACACUGAGAGAGAAAAACAGACUGAACAAUAUUAUCUGUCAACAGGGGAGGUAGCUUGUAAGACCUUAAAAUCUCAGUGCAAGAGUAAACAAUGUGUUCAUAUAGUAUAUUAAUUUUAGAUUAGGAAAAAUAAAAGAUGACACUGGAAAAAAGCUCCUUGGAUU
rnacentral:lncRNA from 1 species